rnacentral:misc_RNA from 1 species
UACGAGGGGUCCUAGCGUUGUUCGGAAUCAUUGGGCGUAAAGCGCAUGUAGGCGGCUCAUCAAGUCAGAUGUGAAAUCCCGGGGCUUAACCCCGGACGUGCAUUUGAAACUGGUGGGCUUGAGUAUGACAGAGGGUAGCGGAAUUCCUGGUGUAGUGGUGAAAUACGUAGAUAUCAGGAGGAACAUCGGUGGCGAAGGCGGCUACCUGGGUCAAUACUGACGCUGAGAUGCGAAAGCGUGGGGAUCAAACAGG